rnacentral:rRNA from 1 species
ACUCAAAGGAAUAGACGGGGGCCCGCACAAGCGGUGGAGCAUGUGGUUUAAUUCGAUGCAACGCGAAGAACCUUACCUGGGUUUGACAUCCCCUGACAGCCGUAGAGAUACGGUUUUGUAGCAAUACACAGGGAGACAGGUGCUGCAUGGCUGUCGUCAGCUCGUAUCGUGAGAUGUCGGGUUAAGUCCCUUAACGAGCGCAACCCUUGUCCUUAGUUGCCACCAUUUAGUUGGGCACUCUAAGGAGACUGCCGGUGUUAAACCGGAGGAAGGUGGGGAUGACGUCAAGUCCUCAUGGCCUUUAUAUCCAGGGCUACACACGUGCUACAAUGGCCGGUACAGAGGGUCGCCAACCCGCGAGGGGGAGCUAAUCUCAGAAAGCCGGUCUUAGUUCGGAUCGAAGUCUGCAAUUCGACUUCGUGAAGCUGGAAUCGCUAGUAAUCGCGGAUCAGAACGCCGCGGUGAAUACGUUCCCGGGCCUUGCACACACCGCCCGU